rnacentral:rRNA from 1 species
UACAGAGGGGGCAAGCGUUAUUCGGAAUUAUUGGGCGUAAAGGGCGCGUAGGCGGCCUGGCAAGUGGAAGGUGAAAUCCCUCGGCUUAACCGAGGAACUGCCUCCCAAACUGCUUGGCUUGAGACCGGGAGAGGUGAGUGGAAUUCCCGGUGUAGCGGUGAAAUGCGCAGAUAUCGGGAAGAACACCCGUGGCGAAGGCGGCUCUCUGGGACGGUACUGACGCUGAGACGCGAAAGCGUGGGGAGCGAACAGG